ACAUUACUUUGCCUGGCGUGUUUUAUUUGGUAAAAUUGCAACAUAUGAUAAUUUAGUACAUAGAGGAAUUCAGGUUGGAAGGGGGAUGUGUGUCAUGUGUGGGUCUGAGCUUGAAACAGUAAAUCAUCUUUUCUUCACAUGUAAAGUGACUUCUAAAGUAUGGUGUAUGUCUGAUGCUUGGGCUGGUAGAGCUUUUGUACAUUGUGAUAAUGCUAUUCAACAUUUCGAACAAAUAGGUUUUACGGGUCUAAACUACUUGGGAAAUUGUGUUUGGAAAUGUAUGUGGAUUUCUAUUAUUUGGGGAAUUUAGAAUCAUAGGAAUAGGAUAAUUUUCAAUAAUGCAGUGGUGGAUCCUGUUGAAAUUUUUGCUUUGGCC
rnacentral:lncRNA from 1 species